rnacentral:rRNA from 1 species
CCCUUAGAUGUUCUGGGCCGCACGCGCGCUACACUGUUCGACGCAGCGAGUCUUAACCUUGACCGAAAGGUUUGGGUAAUCUUCAGCAAAGUCGAACGUGAUGGGGAUCGAUCAUUGCAAUUAUUGAUCGUGAACGAGGAAUUCCUAGUAAGUGCAAGUCAUCAGCUUGCGCUGAAUACGUCCCUGCCCUUUGUACACACCGCCCGUCGCUCCUACCGAUUGAGUGGUCCGGUGAGGCUUUGGGAUCUGAGCGGAAAGAGCGUUUCGCUGUUUCUGCUCGGAAAACUCAGUCGAACCUUAUCAUUUAGAGGAAGGAGAAGUCGUAACA